rnacentral:rRNA from 1 species
GUAAGGAAUAUUGGACAAUGGACGCAAGUCUGAUCCAGCCAUGCCGCGUGAAGGAUUAAGGUCCUCUGGAUUGUAAACUUCUUUUAUAAGGGACGAAAAAAGGCUUUUCUAAGUCGUCUGACGGUACCUUAUGAAUAAGCACCGGCUAACUCCGUGCCAGCAGCCGCGGUAAUAAGGAGGGUGCAAGCGUUAUCCGGAUUCACUGGUUUUAAAGGGUUCGUAGGCGGGCAGGUAAGUCAGUGGUGAAAUCCUAGAGCUUAACUCUAGAACUGCCAUUGAUACUAUCUGUCUUGAAUAUUGUGGAGGUAAGCGGAAUAUGUCAUGUAGCGGUGAAAUGCUUAGAUAUGACAUAGAACACCUAUUGCGAAGGCAGCUUACUACGCAUAUAUUGACGCUGAGGCACGAAAGCGUGGGGAUCAAACAGGAUUAGAAACCCGGGUAGUCC